UUCAGCAGAGGCUGCAUCUGCAAACAGCUCAGAUCUACUUCUGGUGGCUCAGCUGCUGACUCGCGUUUGUGAGACGGGACUCAAAUCUCGCGAGUCCCAACCAACGAGAUUUGAGCCGACCCACAGCCGUUAGCUGUGACCCGCAAGCCGCCAUAAAUUGAGCGUCAGAGCGACUUUCGACAUGAUGUACUCAUUUCGUCCUAUAAUAUUAUAUCGUAGCUGUCACUAGAGUGAGUUUUGUUGAUUAAAUGAGCGGAUAAGUGGCAGGAGGGGCUUUGAGCACUGACUUCUGCCGCAAGCUGAAGCUGCGCGCCACUCACGGGCUUUGGGUUGAAGCUGACGGCUGGUCGGUCUGCAGAAGUUCUUCGCCGGAGCGGAAUAUGCAUUGAGUAAAUCCACAGAGACCUUCCAGGAAACCCCAAGAGGGCAUGUGCUGGUGGUUCAUCCAGGCAAGCUGGUUGAUGGUAGGAUGUACCACAACUGGAGUCCCAGGGAGGCCUUCAUGGCGCGCUUCACAGAAACAAUCCCCUCUGGUGGACAACUCAAUAGAGAAGAAUUAAUGGCUCUGGACAGAGAACCUGGAAUCUCCAAUUGUUGCCGUCGUCAGGGGAAGAGGAGACGUGGGUGCAGGUGAAGCGCUGACAGGCAUGGUAGUGUGACGGCGGAACUUCACCUUGCAGCCGAUGGUUUGUCUGCGAUGGCAGCGAGGUGCGGGCACCGCUGGAGUGGCAGCAGAUGGCCUCCUUCAGGAUCCGGCGUCGGGAAGAAGAUGUUGUCGCUAGCCAGUAGGACAUGGGGAGUUCCAGCCGGUGACGCUCGUCUGAUCCGUAUGAGCUGAUCCUCAGGACCCAAGUCGAAAUGGUGCCUGCUAAGGUCCUUCUGUAUUUCACGGGGAUCCCAGUGGGAUCUCUCUGAAGAGCAGGGAAAUCGAAUUCUGGUAAAGUCUGUUAUGGCCGCUGCGGAAGGAGCCAGAGUAUUGGCAGCCAGACUUGCAAAGUGGUUCAAGAGACACAGGAGAGGAGGCUUUUGAGUCUCGUCAAAUCUCCCCCUGGGCCUUCGGACAACCUCUUCUUCAUCCAACGAUUUGUCUUUAGGAGUGAAGAAUGAAGAAGGCCGUGCACAGGUGGAAGGAUCCCAUGACACUGUGUCCUGGAACGCAGCUUUAAGCAAGGUAAACCUUUUCGACUGUGCAAAGGAGACGUACAUAAACUUAGAGAGCAGACCGUCCUUCAUAUCCAGCUCAGCUCUUAAACGACAUGUUUUCUUUAAGUUCAGUGAUGAUCCCAGCAGCUUUAUGCAGAACUUGUGAGUCCAGAUUAUUGGUAGUAUUUGGUUUUUGCUUUUCAUCUCGACUCACUUCUGCUAUACCUUUGUCUGCCUUUUUCUUCAACAAUGUGUGUUGUCCUUGUUGAAAACAGUGAUAAGCCAGAAGUUAAAGCUUUCAGUUUA